rnacentral:rRNA from 1 species
UUAGAGUUUGAUCCUGGCUCAGGAUGAACGCUAGCGGGAGGCUUAACACAUGCAAGUCGAGGGGUAACAGAGGUAGCAAUACUUGCUGACGACCGGCGUACGGGUGAGUAACGCGUAUGCAACCUGCCCUAUACAGGAGGAUAGCCCGAAGAAAUUCGGAUUAAUACUCCAUGCAGCAUAUUUUUCGCAUGAUAAAUAUGUUAAAGAUUUAUCGGUAUAGGAUGGGCAUGCGUCCCAUUAGUUAGUUGGUGAGGUAAUGGCUCACCAAGGCUUCGGUGGGUAUGGGGUCUAAAAGGAUGGUCCCACACACUGGCACUGAGACACGGGCCAGACUCCUACGGGAGGCAGCAGUGAGGAAUAUUGGUCAAUGGGCGAAAGCCUGAACCAGCUAUGUAGCGUGAAGGAUGACUGCCCUAUGGGUUGUAAACUUCUUUUGUUCGGGAAUAACAGACUUCACUUGUGGAGUUUUGCAUGUACCGUUCGAAUAAGGAUCGGCUAACUCCGUGCCAGCAGCCGCGGUAAUACGGAGGAUCCUAGCGUUAUUCGGAUUUAUUGGGUUUAAAGGGAGCGUAGGCGGGGGGUCAAGUCAGCUGUGAAAUACGUACGCUUAACGUUCGUCUUGCAGUUGAAACUGGUUUUCUUGAGUGCGUAUGAGGCAGGCGGAAUUCGUGGUGUAGCGGUGAAAUGCUUAGAUAUCACGAGGAACUCCUAUUGCGAAGGCAGCUUGCUGGUCCGCUACUGACGCUGAUGCUCGAAGGUGCGGGUAUCGAACAGGAUUAGAUACCCUGGUAGUCCGCACAGUAAACUAUGGACACUCGCUGUCGGCGAUAUACUGUCGGGGGGUAAGCGAAAAGCAUUAAGUGUCCCACCCGGGGAGUACGUCGGCAACGAUGAAACUCAAAGGAAAAGACGGGGGCCCGCACAAGCGGAGGAACACGUGGUUUAAUUCGAUGAUACGCGAGGAACCUUACCCGGGUUUGAAUUGCUGAAUUUGCAUUUGGAGACAUUUGCUUCCCUCUUGGGUUUCAGUGAAGGUGGUGCAUGGUUGUCGUCAGCUCGUGCCGUGAGGUGUCGGCUUAAGUGCCAUAACGAGCGCAACCCCCGCCGUUAGUUGCCAUCGGGUCAUGCCGGGCACUCUAUUGGGACUGCCAUCGUAAGAUGUGAGGAAGGUGGGGAGGACGUCAAAUCAGCGCGGCCCUUAUGUCCGGGGCGACACACGUGUUACAAUGGGGGGUACAGCGGGUUGCUACCUGGUGACAGGGUGCUAAUCUUUAAAACCUCUCUCAGUUCGGAUCGGAGUGUGAAACUCGACUCCGUGAAGCUGGAUUCGCUAGUAAUCGCGCAUCAGCCACGGCGCGGCGAAUAAGGUCCCGGGCCUUGCACACACCGCCCGUCA